AUCCUCCUAGUUGAACUACAACAAUAGCCUUUCACGCUUUAAGUUUGGGUGAAAACCCCAAGAAGGAUA
rnacentral:tRNA from 1 species